rnacentral:lncRNA from 10 species
CCUGUAAUUCCAGCUACUUGGGAGGCUGAGGCACGAGAAUCGCUUGAACCCGGGAGGCAGAGGUUGCAGUGAGCCGAGAUCGUGCCAUGGCAGGUUUCAAACUCCUGGGUUCUAGCAAUCCUCCUGUCUUGGCCUCCCAGAGUGCUGGGAUUACAGACGUGAGUCACUGCAGCCGGUUGGGAGCAUUGAGCUCUGGGGGUGGGUUGAGGGUUAAAAGGCAGAGGGAAAAGAGCUCAUUAGGGGACUGAAGAUGAGAUCCCAGAAAGGUGGAGAGUAGUGUCAUGGAAAUCAAAGGCAGAAAAUAUUUGAGGAGUGGUCAGCUUCGUCAAGUAAGAUACAUGUCCAUUGGAAUUA